rnacentral:lncRNA from 1 species
GAGACCAGACAGUGGCCAGCGCCACCGUCUUCUCCGGCUAGCUCCGGCGAAGGCCAAAAAUUAUAGAGAAAUAAAAGUAAACCAAAACACGCGAUCCAGGUACCAAACGAAAGGUGGAGUGAUGUACAUCACUCCUGUCCCAACCAAAUUCACUCUAGAUUCCUAUUGAGAGAGAAAUCAGAGGUUAAAUUUUAAUGGUGUUCAACUGGACUUGCUUGAUUUCAAAAAUUCAAAGCUCAAUAAUGAUGCCUCUAUGCAGAGGACUUCA